rnacentral:rRNA from 1 species
AGCGAACGCUGGCGGCAGGCUUAACACAUGCAAGUCGAGCGGGCACUUUCGGGUGUCAGCGGCGGACGGGUGAGUAACGCGUGGGAACGUGCCCUCUGGUUCGGAAUAACUCAGGGAAACUUGAGCUAAUACCGGAUACGCCCUUUUGGGGAAAGGCUUGCUGCCGGAGGAUCGGCCCGCGUCUGAUUAGCUAGUUGGUGAGGUAACGGCUCACCAAGGCGACGAUCAGUAGCUGGUCUGAGAGGAUGAUCGGCCACACUGGGACUGAGACACGGCCCAGACUCCUACGGGAGGCAGCAGUGGGGAAUAUUGGACAAUGGGCGCAAGCCUGAUCCAGCCAUGCCGCGUGAGUGAUGAAGGCCUUAGGGUUGUAAAGCUCUUUUAUCCGGGACGAUAAUGACGGUACCGGAGGAAUAAGCCCCGGCUAACUUCGUG